CAUACCACACAGUGUACUGAAGCAUAACUACUUUUAUUUCCUAAAUCAGCUAUAUAUGAAUUUAGCUUGUUUAUAGUGUACAGUUUCAUAUUCAUAAACCUUGUAUUAUAAAAGGUUUGGUUAGAUUAUGAGGUAAGUGAGGUUAGGUAAUUUGAGUUAAUAUCUGUUGAACUCUUACUUACCCAACCUAAUCUAACCUUACCUUAUCAAGCCUAAUCUAACCAACUCUUACAUAACCUAAUUAAACCUUUGUAGCCUAGAAUAAUCCUUUACAGGUAAACAGCUUUUCAAGAGAGUUGGGUAUUUAUCUGUGGAAAUAAUAAUAUUUUUUGUACAUGAAGCUGUGACUGAAACAAUGCAAUGCUUCCCAGCAGCUGUGUAUUUCUGCCACUUCAUAGAGAAAUAACUAGAACUUUGUUAACAUAAUAAAAUUCCGUACAGGUGAAAAAUGUUAGCAUCCAGAAAAAAUGAUGCAAACCUCUACUAAAUAUUUACUGAAGGCUUAACUUAGGGAAAUAAACCCUGGAACUAAGGGGCAGAAACCCUAAAACUCUCUGAUCUUCUUAACCCCUUGACUGCAGAUUUCCUACAGUCAGACAUCACCAAGCUACAGGAAAGGAACAAAAAGUGGCUGCUACAAUUCAAUGAAGAAAAAUGUAAAGUCCUGCACCUUGGGAGGGGAUAUCCAGCACACCAAUACCACAUGGGAAACACUCCACUAUCCACCACAGAGGCAGAGAAGGACAUGGGAGUAUAUGUUACCGGGCUACCAGUAAAAGCCAGAUCCGUGCCAAUCGCAGCGGACGGGUUAUGAGGAAGAGAAAGUGAAGGAGUUACAAAUGCAUAGUUCUUUGAUACAUGAAAGUCAUACACUAGGAGGCAAAAAAGGGAUCCAUCCAUCUCAUCUCAUUAACAUAACUCUAGUCCUGAUAUUUCAACAGGUAUUUGUCAUUUGUCACAGACCACUUUGCCUACAGGCACUACACAGACAGGUGUAUUUACCGACAUACACGGGGUGUAGGUUAUCUCAUUUAUCACAUUUACUGACAUACAAGGGGUGUAGGUUAUCUCAUUUAUCACAUUUACUGACAUACAAGGGGUGUAGGUUAUCUCAUUUAUCACAUUUACUGACAUACAAGGGUGUAGGUUAUCUCAUUUAUCACAUUUACUGACAUACAAGGGGGGCAGGCUAUCCCAUUAACACAUGGAACAGCUUGCGGGAAGAGGUGGUGGAGGCGUACAGUGCCCAACAAAUGAUGGAAAGGCAAAGGAAUGUAGAUAUGGA